CCUUGACCAAGACACCUGUGCUUACGCGGUGGCGUCCACAGGCAAGCGCUGUGUGCUCGAGAAGCACGUCAAGAGGAGCGGUGAAGAAGAAUACACUUGCCGUACCUCCGAGAUCGAAGCCGAUAAGAUCAACAACUGGAUCGAAACUGAUCAGUGCGUUAAAUCGUGCGGCCUCGACCGGAAAUCAUUCGGUAUCUCCUCCGAUUCCCUCCUCGAGUCUCGCUUCACCGAAAUGCUUUGCUCUCCUCAAUGCUACAACGGUUGCCCCAACAUCAUCGAUCUUUACUUCAACCUCGCCGCCGGAGAAGGUAACAUUUUAGUUUUAGCGUUAAAUAACAACUCGAAUACGAGACCCAACAUAACCGUGUCUUGUCUUUGGCAGGUAUUUUUCUUCCGAAAUUAUGUGAAGCACAAAAAGGAAACAUACGUAGAGGAAUGUCGGAGAUUCGGAGCUCCGGUAUGGUUGCCCCGGGACCCGUCGGCGGUGUGAAGUUUUGGGGAGUUGCUCCGGCAAUGGCCCCAUACUAAAAGCUUUCGGGAAAUUUUCAUAAAGUUGUAGUAAUUUUGAAAUAAAGGGAAAGUUGCACUAUAGCUAAGGGUUUUUCUUAAAGCCGGGUUCUUUAAGUGCAUGAACCGGCGUAUAAUUUGGUUCGUGCAUGAUUUUGAGCCAUGAGCUUGGUGUGUUCAACCCAAUAAGAUGCCACUUUCUAUUAAAUAGGUUUGCUUAUUGUAAUGGGUGUGAAAAAGAAACAAUGUUAUGAAAUUUAUAAAAGUAUACUUAUAUUUGUGUGAUUUAUUCUAAAUUUGCAACCUUUCUUUGUGUUAAUAUUAUGGGAUGGAAAAUGAUCCAAAAAAAUGAAAAUCAUAUUUACCUCCUGAGUUUGUUUUUUUUUUUUCCUUCAAAUAACGCCGUGCAUUGUGGUUUAAACCCUCCCAAAAGCACAACGCUGCCUAUUUUUCUUCAAAUUUUGACUGCCAAAAGAAUAAUUGUGCUCCAUAAUCGAGGAAUCAACUAUUUGAUAUAUUUAUUUCAAAGCCCCAGUUUAUUGCUUUGUUGCAAAUCAUAAUAUAACAACCCGUUUUUUAGUGGUGUCCGAAACAGUAGUUUCGGGGCCAUCAAGUUCGACGAGUAAGUUCGUAAAUAUUAUUAUUUAAUAUUUACGAGUUAAAUGUGAUUUUUAAAAAGGUUUUUGAUUUGAUAAUUUAUGUUAUAUAAGUGAUUUAUUAAGUCCAAAUGGUUUUAGAAAAUAAGGUACCGGGACUUUGUUUUUAUAAAUUGAGCCAUAAAUAUUUUUAUAAAUAUUUACGGAAUGUCAUUAAGGUAAUAUUAAAGCUCCGUUAAGAAAUUUUGAGAUGGCAAUUCCAACAAUUUAUUCCACACAUUAUUUUGGGAAAGAAAACGUAAAAGACAAUUAUUUAGAGAAGUAACACCUAAUUUGAGAAAUAAAGAUCAUUUGAAAAAUCAAAGUCUUUAUAAUAAACAACUCAUGGAUUUUGGGGUUAAGCUCCAACCGUCCGAUAAUUCCCAAAUUAUUAAGACUUUAAAAAAAAUGAAACUUUGGGAAAAAAAUAAAAAUAUCUUUCAUUUAAAAUUUUUCUAAGAAUUGUACAUCAUUAAUUUAAAUUAAUUUAAAAUUUAACAAUGAUAAAAUUAAAUAAAAUAAACCAUAAAAUUAUUACAUAAUUUAACAUAUGGAAAUAAUGAAAAUACUGAUUCGAAAUAAGGAAUUCGGAUGAUUAACUUGCAAAUCAAUUAAAUCGAUUUUUAUGUUUUUUAAUAAUUUAUUCUAUUAAAUUGAAAAAAAUAAUUAACUUAAAAAUCGAUAAUUUAACGGAGCUGAUUGAAAUUUUGAAAACCUUAAUUUUUUAUUUUUUAUUUAUAAAUUACAGUGUUCCCAAAAGUUUGGGUGAAAGGGUCCCAAAGUACGUUUGAUCACUCCUUUCCUUUUUCUUUUGGGUCAAAAUGUUGUCUUAAAAUUCGGUGCAAAAGCCCAUGAAUUUACUCCAUAAUCGUGGGGAGUGGGAACUACAAUGGUCAAAACAAUAACCGUCUUGAAGAGAAACAUACGUACAAUUUUUGCCGUAAUUGACGCUCUGUCAAACAAAUUUCCACAUCUUGGAAAUGUAUUUAGCAGCCCGUCCUAACAAAAAUUCUGAUAGUGAAAUAUUUAGUACUUAAACUUUGUUAAUUUUUUUAUUUUGGUCUUUGAACUUUCUUUUAUUCAUAUUAGAAUAGUUUUUGAAUUUGAAUUCGGUUAAAAUAUGACAAUGUGACCCUCUGAAAUAAUUUCUUUAUAUUUUUGUGUUUUUUUAGAUUUGAUAUAUUUUUAAAAGUUUAAAAUUUUGCCGAGCUCAAUAAGAGAUUUGUUGAUUGAUGAUCGUAAUGGCUCUAAAUCAGUUUAAUAUAAAUUAGUUGAUAUAAUUGUUUUGUGAUGUAUUUUUUAUGUAAAAAAAAUAUUAUUUUGAUAGAAUAUAAAAUGGUUUAUAUGUACUCAUUGAUGCUAUAUAUUAUAGAAUGUUAAUUAAUAAAUGAUAAGUUAUCACCUCAUUCUGAAGAAAAUCUAAAAGUUGUUUAUUUUCAGAAUGAUGAGGAUAUCAUCCAAAAUUCUUUAGAUUAUUUUUUAUUUUUUAAUUUAUAAUUAUUUUUUAAUAAUUGGGUUCAGGGUAAAAUCGUUUUUACCUUGUCUGACUUUCCAUUUCAUUAUGAUUUUUAUAUUAUUUUUUUUAUAAAUAAUCUUACUUAAACUCUUUUAAAUAUUAUUUUUAUUUUUCAUAUUAUUUAAUUAAAUAUUUAUGAUAAAAAAGUUAUAUGACAAAUAUUUAUGAUACACCCGUGAUGUAAGUGAAAAAAAUUCAAGUAAUAAUUAUAUUUAUAAAACAUUAUAAUAAAAUAAAUUAAUUAAAAUGAUAAAAUUAAAGUUUUGAAAGAUAUAUCUUAAGUUUAAAUCGCAUAAUAUUUAUUUCUUUUUCUAGAUUUAUAUAAAAAUAUUAAAAAUAAAAACUUCUCACAAUAACAUUUCUUAAAAAGAAUUGCAUGUAUAUGGCGUGUUUGCAUUUGAAAGGUUGGCAUAAAAGGAGGCAGGAAAAUUGCCGUAAUUGGAUGCAUUGUUAAUGGUUUUUCUACAUGCAUAAAAUCUAAACGGGUUUAGAAUAUACUUUGUUAUAUAUAGAUUAUACUUAAGAAAUUAUUAAUUAUGUAUUAAAUAUGUUUAUAAAAAAAUAAUUUAGAUUUUGAAAUGUUAAAAAUCAUAAAUUUUUCAUUUUUAAGAUUUAUUUUAAAUUUAAAUUGAAUUUUAAUAACUUUUAUAUAAAAAUAUAAAAACACUUUCAAAUAAUAUUUUUUUACUUUUUCUGAAAUAAUUUUUUUAGAAUGAUUUAUUAGUCGAUUAAGUUUGUGACGUCACAUUACAUAUAAAAUCCAAUGCUACAUAAAUAUCAUGUUUAAAGUUUAAACACGUGUAAAAGAAAUCUGCUUCUUUGCUUACGACCUGCCAAGCGGGGGUCACUAACUUCAUAGUUACGAAGGAAUUCCAAAUAACGACCUUUUACUGUCACUGAACAUUAAAGUAAGGUUCGUGUCAAUUUCUAACUCGAAAAAUCAACCAUGUGAGUUGAUUUUUCAACUCUCCACUGCCAAACCCCCCAAAUAAACCCACUAUAAAACACCCUUUUCUCAACCCCUUCCCCCCAUCAAUCUUGCCAUACCUGUUAAUAAACACAACAAAAAUCUCAGCUAGCUAGCUUUUCCCCUCCAUUAAAAUCCAUGGCUUCCACCAUUAGCAGGAAGAUGACCUUGGCUAUCCUUGCUCUGGCAUUAUUCUCCUAUUGCUUACAAGCCACACUAGGUUAAUUUGCAUUAUUUGUUACGUUAAAUAGCAUUGAUUUAAGCCUUUUAAGAUUAUAACUAUAUGCGUGUGUGUGUGUGUUUUGUUGUAGGGGAAAUAAUAUGUGAACACCUUGACCAAGACACCUGUGCUUACGCGGUGGCGUCCACAGGCAAGCGCUGUGUGCUCGAGAAGCACGUCAAGAGGAGCGGUGAAGAAGAAUACACUUGCCGUACCUCCGAGAUCGAAGCCGAUAAGAUCAACAACUGGAUCGAAACUGAUCAGUGCGUUAAAUCGUGCGGCCUCGACCGGAAAUCAUUCGGUAUCUCCUCCGAUUCCCUCCUCGAGUCUCGCUUCACCGAAAUGCUUUGCUCUCCUCAAUGCUACAACGGUUGCCCCAACGUCAUCGAUCUUUACUUCAACCUCGCCGCCGGAGAAGGUAACAUUUUAGUUUUAGCGUUAAAUAACUACUCGAAUACGAGACCCAACAUAACCGUGUCUUGUCUUUGGCAGGUAUUUUUCUUCCGAAAUUAUGUGAAGCACAAAAAGGAAACAUACGUAGAGGAAUGUCGGAGAUUUGGAGCUCCGGUAUGGUUGCCCCGGGACCCGUCGGCGGUGUGAAGUUUUGGGGAGUUGCUCCGGCAAUGGCCCCAUACUAAAAGCUUUCGGGAAAUUUUCAUAAAGUUGUAGUAGUUUUGAAAUAAAGGGAAAGUUGCACUAUAGCUAAGGGUUUUUCUUAAAGCCGGGUUCUUUAAGUGCAUGAACCGGCGUAUAAUUUGGUUCGUGCAUAAUUUUGAGCCAUGAGCUUGGUGUGUUCAACCCAAUAAGAUGCCACUUUCUAUUAAAUAGGUUUUCUUAUUGUAAUGGGUGUGAAAAAGAAACAAUGUUAUGAAAUUUAUAUAAGUAUACUUAUAUUUGUGUGAUUUAUUCUAAAUUUGCAACCUUUCUUUGUGUUAAUAUUACGGGAUGGAAAAUGAUCCAAAAAAUGAAAAUCAUAAUUACUUCCUGAGUUUGUUUUUUUUUUCCCUUUAAAUAACACCGUGCAUUGUAGUUUAAACCCUCCCAAAAGCACAACGCUGCCUAUUUUUCUUCAAAUUUUGACUGCCAAAAGAAUAAAUGUGCUCCAUAAUCGAGGAAUCAACUAAUUGAUAUAUUUAUUUCAAAGGCCCAGUUUAUUGCUUUGUUGCAAAUCAUAAUAUAACAACCCGUUUUUUAGUGGUGUCCGAAACAGUAGUUUCGGGACCAUCAAGUUCGACGAGUAAGUUCGUAAAUAUUAUUAUUUAAUAUUUACAUGUUAAAUGUGAUUUUUAAAAAGGUUUUUGAUUUGAUAAUUUAUGUUAUAUAAGUGAUUUAUUAAGUCCAAAUGGUUUUAGAAAAUAAGGUACCGGGACUUUGUUUUUAUAAAUUGAGCCGUAAAUAUUUAUAAAAUAUUUACGGAGUGUCAUCGAGGUAGUAUUAAAGUUCUGUUAAGAAAUUUUAAUGUUUCGAUAGUUAAUUAAUUAAAAAGGAUCAAGUUAAAAAAAGUGCAUUCCAGGGACUCCGUUCCCGUAAAUCGGACUCGUAAAUAGGAGUUAGUUGUGUAGUUAAUUAGGUUUCAGUUAAGUGAAUUUGCUUGAAUUAAAAGUAAUUAGGUACAAGGACUAAAUUGCAUAUAGGGUAAAAGUUGAAUUAUAUCUUAAAGAAAAUUAAGGGACUAAAGAAGCAAUUAUGCCAUUGACAUUAAUUGAGGUGGCAUAAGUAAGAUAUUUGUGAAUUUAUUAUAUAUAUUAUAAAAUAAAAACCUUAAGUAUUAAGUAUAUAUAUUAUAUUAUAUAAUAAAUUAAUGUAUAAUAAACAAUUGUUUAAAGUUCAAUUGGUUAGUGUCCCUUUUUCUUUUAAUUUUUAUGUUUUUGGAAUCCCGGUAUUAAAUACUACAAGAUCCAUGUCAAAAUUUUAGAAAUUAUUAAGUUUUUAAAUGUUGUUAAUGUUGAAUAAUUUUAGUAUUAGGGAUUAAAUUGAUAGAUUUUUAAGUUACAAGUGAAAAAGAAUUGAAUUUUAAAAUAAAUUGUAAAUUUUGAGUAAUAGGGACUAAAUUGUGAAAAAUUCAAAAUUUAAAGAUUUAAGUGAAACUAGAGAGUUAAAUCUAGUUUAAAGUGGAAAUUGAAUGAAAAUAUAGAAUUGAUUGUGAAGAAAUAAAAGUAGUCUCGGUUUAGGGACUAAAUUGGAAUUUAGACAAAUGUUGAGUAAAAAUUGAAAUAUGCAAUAUGGAAUUGAAUUGUAUUGUAUUGAUGAAUUUUAAUUUAUUUAUUGCACAACUAAAGUCAUACCGAAAUCCUAGACUAAAAAGGGGAAAGAUAAAGUCAACGAGGAAUAGCUUGGAAUUUCUGAUUUGUAUUUCUAAAAUCUGAAUCUAGUUAUUAAUAGUUGUAUUUUGAUUUAAUGCUUAUGGUAAGUGGUUGAGGUGAGUAUUUGACACUUUGACAUUGAAUUGAAUUAAAAGUUGAUUGAAUGGAUUGAACUGAUUUUUUGAAUUGAAAUGAAUAUAUAUGUGCAAAUAUGAUAAUUGAAUAUUGGUUGUAUUUGGAAAGUGAAAUUAAACCCUAUUAACUGUAUCGGGCUGAGUCGGAUAUAGAUGGCAUGUCAUAAGAUUGGAAGAGUUCAGGGAUUUCUUCGACUUCGAUUCGAUGAGACACUGGGUGUCAAUUUACUACUUCAGAUUAAUUCGAUGAGGCACUGGAUGCCAAUUUACUUCGGUUUAGCCGAUGAGACACUGGGUGUCAAAUUAUUACUUUGAAUUAUCCGAUGAGGCACUGGGUGCCAAACUGGUGAGGUGGUUGGAUCCGUGUAUCUGUUCGAGUCAGAGUCGUGUGAAUAGGGGUAAAUGAAUAAAUAAGUUCUAUAAUUGAUAUUGAAAUAGUAUAGUAUGAGAAAUGGAAAUGAAAUAGCUAAUUGAGUAUGGAAUGAAUAAAGCAACUGUAUAAAUGAAAUGUGAGUUAAACUGUGAAAAACUAUUUAUAUAGCAAGCAUGAGAAUUGAGAUAUUUGUGAAACAAGUGAAAAAUGAUAUGGUUGUUGUAAUAUUUAAAUAUUAAUAUGUGUUUAUAUUUCAAUUGUAUAUUUGUAAUUUUUUAUCUUUAAAUAUUCGGAUUAUAGAAAUACCACUAAGUUUUACUCAGCGUAUGAUUUUGUUUCCCUUGCGCAAGUUAGGUACUUAACUUUUGAUCGUCCAUUCAACAUCUAACAAUGAGCCCGAACUCAAAUGUGGUGAUAUUUAUCCUUUGUGUUGGCAUGUCGUUAGGGUGUCUAAAUAAUAGUUAUUUUGUGAUUUGAUUGCAAAUGAGGUUAUAAGUUUAAUUUUGAUUGGUUUUAUACAUAUAAAUAUGUGUUUGUUUUUGAAGACAUAUUAUGGCAUGAUAAAUUGAACAAAUCUAGAUAGGUGCAUGUGAAUUUAAUUCUAUGUUUAAGUGCUCAUAAACUAGGCAAAUUGAUUUGGAUUUGGUAUGUUUAUAUUUUGGAUUAAAAUGAUGCUUUGAUGACUUGUUUUAAUGAUAUAAAAUGUUUGAAAUUUCUAUCUGUUUGAUCUGUAAACUCCGGUAAUGCUUCGUAACCUAGUUCCAGUGAGGGAUACGGGUUGGGGGUGUUUCACAUAACUAAUCUUAUCUAUGUUGAAUUAGGCGAAGUUGGGAUUUAUUUGAAGUUUGAUUUAAUAUAAUACACAAAUUUAAAAAAGGUUUAUAUGUUUAAAAAUAUCUUAAGAAAAUAUAAAUAAAUUUAUGUAUUAAUUUCACAUCCAAUUAAGUUUUUGUCAUUAAUUAAAAUAAUCAAUUAAGUCCCUCUAUUAACGGUAUUUGUCAUUGAUUAUGUUGACCGUUAAAAUAAAUUAGCGAACCAAUCAAAUGGUGACACGUGAUAAUUUUUGGUUUAAUCUAGUAUUUUUCUAAUAAAAGUGAUUAAAAUAUCACAAAAAAAAUGAAAAUUGUUAUAAACUUGUAAAAAUUAUAAUUGAAUUCCACAAUAGCCAUCACUUUUGCUUCCCAUUCUUUUGGCAGGUUAUUGAGUAAUCUAGUCAUCAUUUCUUUGUUGGAAUAAGCCUUUCCAAGUGCCUCCAAUCCAUUAAUGAUGUUGGUCAAUCUAUUAGACAUGUCUUUGAUGCUCUCCUCCGUCUUCAUCUUGAAAAGCUCAUAGUCAAGUGUGAGUAAAUCAAUCUUGCAUUCCUUGGCUUGGCUUGUUCUUUCAUGAAUAGUGGCAAGUUUGUCCCAAAUCUCCUUGGCACUUCGACAUUGGGACACUUUAUUAUACUCAUUAGGUCAUAAUGCACAAAAAAGGGCGUGUGUUGCCUUAGCAUUGAGUUGAGCCUUCUUUUUGUCACAUUCUUCCUACUCAUCUUCUGUAACAGCCCAAUUUUCAGUAGUUUCAGAACAGUGAUUUGAGAUCACUAAAUUCGAUGAAAAAGUUAGAAAAUUUUAUUAAUUAAUAAUUAUAAGUUAAGCGUGAUUUUAGAAAUAUUUUUGAAUGAGUGAAUUUUAUGAUUUUAAGAAAAAAUUAUUAGGUAAAUUGGGUCAAAAACGAGGUAUCGAGACCUCAAUAUUAUAAACUGAGUUGUAAAUAUUUUUAAAAAUAUUUACGGAGUGUCGUUAGGGUUGUAUUAAAUUUUCGUUAAGAAAUUUUAAUGUUCCGAUGAUUAAUUGAUUAAAAAUAUUGAAUUAAAAAAAGGGUAUUCCCGGGAAUUUGUUCCGAUAAAUCGGACUCGUGAAUAUUUAUUAUAAAUAUUUACGAAGUUAGUUGUGUAGUUAAUUAGAUUUUGAUUAAGUGAAUUUGUCUAAAUUGAGGUUAAUUAUGAAAAAGGAUUAAAUUGCAAUAGAGAUAAAAGUUUAAUUAUAAAUUAAAGAAAAGUUAAAAGGACCAAAUAGGCAAUUAUGCCAUCAGCCUAAAUUGAGGCGGCAUAAUGAAAGAAAUAUCUGAGAUAUUUUAGUUUAUAUUAUAUUAUGUUUUCUUAAAUAAUAAGUAUAUUGUUAUAUUAUAUUAUUAUAUUAUUAUAUUAUUAUAAUAAAAGAAACAAUGAAAUAGAAGAUAGAAAAAGAGAAUAGAAACAGAGAGCAAAACGAAAACAGGGGAGAAAGGAAAGAAAAAGAAAAAGGGAAGGAAAGAAGGAAAAUUUGGGGUUUUAAGGUUCAAAGUUAAUUUGGUAAGUCAAUUUAAUCCAUUUUCUCUUAGUUUUGAUGUUUUUGGAAUCCUAGAGAUAAAUAUUGCUUGAUUUAUGUUGAUAUUUUGAAAGUUUAUUAGAUUAUUAGAUCUUGUUCAUGUUGAAUUAAUUGAUGAAUUAGGGGUUAAAUUGAUUGAAAUUCAAGUUAGAAGUUAAUAAAGGAUUUAAUUGUAAAAUAAAGUGUAAGUUUUGAAUAGUAGGGACUAAAUUGAAAGAAUCCCGAAAUUAGGAAUUUAUGAUAAAAAUGAAGAGUUAAAAUGAGUUUAUAGUAAGAAUUAAGAAAGAAUAUGGAGAUAGAUUGGGAAAAAUAAAGUUAGUAUUGAUAAGGGAUUAAAUUAGAAUUUAGGUAAAGUUUAGAUAUAAAUGAAAAUAUUUUGAUGAAAUUGUGUAUUAAUGAUUUUUAAUUGUUUAAUUACGUAGCUAAUGUCGUGCAAGAGUCAUUGUCCGAGAAAGGAAAUGAGAAGGUGAACAAUGAGUGACUCGAGAGAAAUUUCGGUUAGUAUUACCAUAAUUCGAAUUUAAUUAUUAAUUGUUGACAUUUAAAUUAAUAUACAUGAUAAGCAAAUUAAGGUAAAUAUCAUGAUUGAAUUGAAUAAAUAUAUAUAUAUAUAUAUAUACGUAUUGAUAUUGAAUUUAUUGAUAGUAAUUGUUAAAUUUUGAAUAAUAUGUUUAGUAAAUAAAAAUAAGGUGAAUCUCGAUAUUGAAUUAAAUGAAUUAAAAAUAUGAAUUGAAUAAAAGUGAACUAAAUUAUGAUUAUGUGUGAAUAUGUGAAUUGUGUGUAGAUUAAAAAAUGGUUUGAAUUGAAUCAAAGUAUGAUUUUAUGUGAAUAUCUGAAACAUGUAUUGGUAUUGAAUUGUAUAUUGAUUAGAAAGUAGGAAGUGAAUCUGAAUUGAAUUGUGAUUGAAUCGAAAGUGAAUUUGAAAUAGAAAAAUGUAUUGAAUCAAAUGGUGAUUAAAUUGGAAUGAUUUGAAUUGAAAUGAUGAGAAAGUGAUUGAAUUGAAAUGUGAUCCGGAAACCCUAUUAACUAGUCGGGCUGAGUCGGAUAUAGUUGGCAUGCCAUAGGAUUGGAAGAGUUCAGGGAUACUUCGACCUCGAGUCGAUGAGACACUGGGUGUCAUACUGUUACUUCGGAUAGAUUCGAUGAGGUACUGGGUACCAACUUACUUCGGCUUGGCCGAUGAGACACUGGGUGUCACUUUAUUGCUUCGAACUAUCCGAUGAGGCACUGGGUGUCAUUCUGGUGUGUUUGGUUGGAUCCGUGUAUCCGCCAAAGUCCGAGUCAAGUUAAUAGGGGUAAAUGAAUAAAUUAUGAUAAUAUAAAAUUUGUUGAAUGAUCUUGAAUAUGAAUUGAAAUAAGAUAUUCAAUUGAGACAUGGAAAUGAAAUGUAUGAACCAUUGGUUCAAGAAAUAGAUAACGAUAUAGUUCAUGAAAUGGUUUUGGUAGUAUAAGAUGAUGUAAAAAUAUAAAUAAAGAAAAGCAAAUUGAAAUAGCUAUUGCUAAGAAAUGAGAAGUGAAAAUAAAAUGAUUUGAAAUAGUGAAAUAAUAUGUGAAUUUAAUUGAAUACAAGUUAUUGAAAUUUAUUUAUGGAUUUAAUGAAUAAAUUGAGUGAUAAAAGAUUUUAAGUAUAAAUUGAAUAUAAAUAGAAAUGAUAAUGAAUGAGUUGAUAAAUUGAUUGAAUUUGUAUGAAUUUGGAAUGAGUUAUUAGAAUGAGAUGUGGAAAAAAAUUCAAUGAAAUUGAGACAGUGAAAUAAGGUACGAGUACAAUUAAAUACAAGAUUUAAAAUAUUGCUUAUUGUUAUUAAUUAUCAAGUUGAUUUAAAGUACGAAAUAAUUAAUGAAUAAUUGUAGACAUCAAUUAAAUGUAUAUAAUUUAUUGAUUAAUGUUAUUAAUUUGAAUUAUGGUAAUACCACUGAGUAUUCCUAUACUCAGUGUACGGUUGUUUCUGUGCGCAGGUUAAGUUAAAGUCGGAUUGUUGAAUCAGCAUCCAAAGCCGAUUCUAAACUAAUUGUGGUGGUGAACAUUUCUUUUAGGUAUGGCAUGUAUAGGAAUUUAGUCAUUUUGUAUGUUUGUAAUUAUAAUUUUGCUAUAGAAUGAUGUGUAAGUAUUUGACAAUGAAUGGUUGUUUAAAAGGUCAAGGAUGAAGUUAUUUGUUGUUAUAGAAGUCUAGGUGAUAAAUUAUGUACGAAAAUCAUGAAAGGGUAAAAUUUUGCAAAGAAACAGAAUUCAGGCAGCAACAGUGAUGUGACUUUGAAAAAUCACCUAGGAUAGUAUAAAGUGAAUUAGAGGGUGAAUGAUAUAUAGAAUUAAAUCUUGAUGAGUCUAUUUUCAUAGAAAAAUAACGGUUUAACAAAAGGAAUUUUAUAUUUUGAGAUAUGAGAAUUUUAAUAAGACAGGGUCGGUCAAAUUUGUUUUUGGAGUCCCCUGUUCUGAGUUUAGAAAAUCAUUAAAAACUGUAUAAAAAUGGUUAUAUAUGUAUAAAUUCCUUAUUGAGUCUAUUUUCUGUAGAAACAAGUAAGAAUUACAUAUGAAAAUCCUACAGUGAGAAAUUUUAUUUUUAGUGGCAAGAGGACAGGACAGUUAAGUAGUGAAAUAGGGAAGACUUUAACUAAUAAGCUGUACUAAUUGGCUGAACCAAAAAUUCUGAAAUUUUUAUGGUAAGUAGAUAUAUGAGUCUAGUUUCAGGAAAAAUUUACGGAGUUAAAUUUCAAGUUCCGUAGCUCGAUUUAUAAUUAAUUUAGUAAUUGCUGCGCGAUUAGACAGAUUGCUGUAAAUAGUGAAAUUAAUUUUCAAAACAAGUUUUUAUGCUUCGAAUUAGUGUGAUAAGCUAAGUAAUGUCUCGUGCUCGACUUCGGCAACGGUCUCGGGUAAGGGGUGUUACAUCUUCGUUCUUGGGUAUUAUCGAAAACUAUUUGUGAUUAUCCUCCAAACAUGGCAAUUAUUUGUUUGAAUGAAGAGCUUUUUCCUUGUCUUCUAAUAUGAGUAGCUCUCUCCAUUAAAAAAUGGUGGUCUCGCAAUUGAUUGACCAUCACCCAAGCUAGUUGCGCCAAAAUCUAGGCAUAGCAAUGGGCAGAGCAAGUAUUGCUAAAUACACUAUUGUUUUAUAUUUGGUACACUUUGCUCCACUACUUAGCCUGCUUCACUAUGGGUGUAUAAUAUUAAAAUUUACUACCACCUUCCUGGAUAUUAGAUGCAUCUAUUUCUGCUCCAACCUCGCUCCGCUUCAAUUUAAUUGUUACUACUUAUAUUUAAUAUUUUCAAUCUUUUUAAAGUCAAAUAAAUAAUUAAAUAUAUUUAUUCAAAAAAAUAUUUAAACAUAAAUAUAUAAUUUUGUAUAUUAUAUUAUUACAUUUUUACCCUUUUAAUAGUUUAUAUAUACAAUCAUAAAAUGAUAAUUUUAUAUAGUGGAGUGGAUUAGAGCAGGGCAAGCAAUUAAUUAUCAUAAUUGCUUCAUACCUAUUAUCCAAAAGAAAAAGUCACCCCGUCCCGCCUCGAAUCCACUUUUUAAACAAAAAAAAUUAACUCCAUUCAGAGUGAAUCAGUUUGGAUUUAUAAAAAAUUUAUAUGACAAAUAUUUAUGAUACACCCGUGAUGUAAGUGAAAAAAAUUCAAGUAAUAAUUAUAUUUAUAAAACAUUAUAAAAUAAAAAAUUUAAUUAAAAUGAUAAAAUUAAAGUUUUCAAAGAUAUAUCUUAAGUUUACAUCGCAUAAUAUUUAUAUCUUUUUCUAGAUUUAUAUAAAAAUAUUAAAAAUAAAAAAUUCUCACAAUAACAUUUCUUAUUUUAUGAAAAUGAAUUUUAAAUAAAUUUACAGCCGACUGAUAUCAACUUAAAAAGAAUUGCAUGUAUAUGGUCAAAGAACACGUGUUUGCAUUUGAAAGGCUGGCAUAAAAGGAGGCAGGAAAAUUGCCGUAAUUGGAUGCAUUGUUAAUGGUUUUUGUUAUAUAUAGAUUAUAAUUAAGAAAUUAUUAAUUAUGUAAUAAAUAUGUUUAUAAAACAAUAAAAUAGAUUUUGAAAUGUUAAAGUUGAGCUUUAAAAAUCAUAAAAUUUUCAUUUUUAAGAUUUAUUUUAAAUUUAAAUUUAAUUUAAUAGCUUUAAUAUAAAAAUAUAAAAACACUUUCAAAUAAUAUUUUUUACUUUUUCUUAAAUAAUUUUUUUAGAAUGAUUUAAUAGUCGAUUAAGUUUGUGACAUCACAUUACAUAUAAAAUCCAAUGCUACAUAAAUAUCAUGUUUAAAGUUUAAACACGUGUAAAAGAAAUCUGCUUCUUUGCUUACGACCUGCCAAGCGGGGGUCACUAACUUCAUAGUUACGAAGGAAUUCCAAAUAACGACCUUUUACUGUCACUGAACAUUAAAGUAAGGUUCGUGUCAAUUUCUAACUCGAAAAAUCAACCAUGUGAGUUGCUUUUUCGACUCUCCAUUGCCAAACCCCCCAAAUAAACCCACUAUAAAACACCCUUUUCUCAACCCCUUCCCCCCAUCAAUCUUGCUGUUAAUAAACACAACAAAAAUCUCAGCUAGCUAGCUUUUCCCCUCCAUUAAAAUCCAUGGCUUCCACCAUUAGCAGGAAGAUGACCUUGGCUGUCCUUGCUCUCGCAUUUUUCUCCUCUUGCUUACAAGCCACACUAGGUUAAUUUGCAUUAUUUGUUACAUUAAAUAGCAUUGCUUUAAGCCUUUUAAGAUUAUAACUAUAUGUGUGUGUGUUUUGUUGUAAGGGAAAUAAUAUGUGAACACCUUGACCAAGACACCUGUGCUUACGCGGUGGCGUCCACAGGCAAGCGCUGUGUGCUCGAGAAGCACAUCAAGAGGAGCUGUGAAGAAGAAUACACUUGUCGUACCUCCGAGAUCGAAGCCGAUAAGAUCAACAACUGGAUCGAAACCGAUCAGUGCGUUAAAUCGUGCGGCCUCGACCGGAAAUCAUUCGGUAUCUCCUCCGAUUCCCUCCUCGAGUCUUGCUUCACCGAAAUGCUUUGCUCUCCUCAAUGC
rnacentral:lncRNA from 1 species